UGGAAGCAUUUUUAGCAUACAACAACAUCCAAGUGGAUUACGAUGAAUGCCUAGACCUCUAUGGCAAACAGUCUCUUCGUGGCCUGUGCUGAGGACUACAUCAGUCUCCUGCAAUUAUCAUCUACACUGAAAAACAAAGAGGACAGAGGCAAAGCUAGUGGCCCUCACCAUCCCCUGCAAGCUGAUUGCUUCUUACUGCAAGCACUUGAGCAUCUUCCUGAGAGCUUUCUUGGGCAAUGGGAACCAGGCUUGGCCCAUUCACAGGCAGGUGAGAAGUAUGAGGAAAUGGAGAAGGCAUUGUCCAAGGAGCAGUCUUCAACCUUCGCCCCGCAAGUGAGACAACUCUGAAUAAGAUGUGUUCUACACUCUCUUCCAAAGGUCCCCAGUUGGAUGGAGCUCUAGCUGCUCAUGUGAUAAGCUGCCUAUUAAUACACAAAAGAUUGCCUUUCCUCCUUGCUCUGUCUUCCUGCUGCUCUCCUACUAAUGUUUCCU
rnacentral:lncRNA from 1 species